rnacentral:rRNA from 1 species
GACGUAGGGCGCGAGCGUUGUCCGGAUUUAUUGGGCGUAAAGAGCUCGUAGGCGGCUUGUCGCGUCGACUGUGAAAACCCGCGGCUCAACUGCGGGCCUGCAGUCGAUACGGGUAGGCUAGAGUUCGGUAGGGGAGACUGGAAUUCCUGGUGUAGCGGUGAAAUGCGCAGAUAUCAGGAGGAACACCCAUGGCGAAGGCAGCAUACUGGGCCUGUACUGACGCUGAGACGCGAAAGCGUGGGUAGCAAACGGG